rnacentral:rRNA from 1 species
GACCUGAGCUCAGGCAAGAACACCCGCUGAACUUAAGCAUAUCAAUAAGCGGAGGAAAAGAAAGAAACAUCGAUUGUCAGAGUAACGGCGAGUGAAACGACAAUAGUCCAACUUGAAAAUCUCCCUUUGGAGAAUUGUAGUCUAUAGAAGCGCCCUCUGUGGCGGUCGGAUCCCAAGUUCACUGGAAAGUGGCGUCAGAGAGGGUGAGAACCCCGUCGGAUCUAGACUUAGCUGCUCCACGAGGUGCUUUCCAAGAGUCGGGUUGUUUGGGAAUGCAGCCCAAAAUGGGAGGUAAAUCCCUCCUAAGACUAAAUACCGGCGAGAGACCGAUAGCGAACAAGUACCGUGAGGGAAAGAUGAAAAGCACUUUGGAAAGAGAGUUAAAAGUACGUGAAAUUGUCGAAAGGGAAGCACUUGAAGUCAGCCAUGCUGCUUGAGACUCAGCCUGGCUUUUGCUUGGUGUAUUUCUCGGUAGCAAGCCAGCAUUGGUUUGUGUCGUCGGAGAAGCGUAUGGGGAAUGUGGCAUCCUCGGAUGUGUUAUAGCCCUGUGCAGGAUACGACGACGUAGACCAAGGAACGCAGUGUGCCCUCUGGGCGGGUCUUCGGACACCUUCACACUUAGGAUGCUGGCGUAAUGGCUUUAAGUGGCCCGUCUUGGAACACGGACCAAGGAGUCUAACAUGUAUGCGAGUUGGUGGGUGGAAAACCCAUGAAGCGUAAGUAACCUAACUGGUGUGAUGGCCUGUGCCUGCAACAUCGACCGACCAUGAUCUUCUGUGAAAGGUUUGAGUGCGAGCAUACCUGUUGGGACCCGAAAGAUGGUGAACUAUGCGUGAAUAGGGUGAAGCCAGAGGAAACUCUGGUGGAAGCUCGUAGAUGUGCUGACGUGCAAAUCGCUUUUCGGACUUGGGUAUAGGGGCGAAAGACUAAUCGAACCAUCUAGUAGCUGGUUUCCUCCGAAGUUUCCCCCAGGAUAGCUGGAGCUCAUAUGUGUUACGUCAGGUAAAGCGAAUGAUUAGACGCAGGGGGAUGAAACAUCCUUCACGUAUUCUCAAACUUUAAAUAGGCGUGAAGCGUGGGAUGCUUAAUUGAUCCCACGCAAUUAAACUGAGCUCCAAGUGGGCCAUUUUUGGUAAGCAGAACUGGCGAUGCGGGAUGAACCGAUAGCUAAGUUAAGGCGCCCAACUGCACGCUAACCUAGAUCCCACAAAGGGUGUUGAUUGAUAUAGACAGCAGGACGGUGGUCAUGGAAGUCGAAAUCCGCUAAGGAGUGUGUAACAACUCACCUGCCGAAUCAAUUAGCCCCGAAAAUGGAUGGCGCUGAAGCGUGCGGCCUAUACUUAGCCAUUGAAGCAAGUGCGAAGCUUCAAUGAGUAGGAGGACGUGGGUGUCGUUGCGCAGCCUGAGGCGUGAGCCUGGGUGAAACGGCAUCUAGUGCAGAUCUUGGUGGUAGUAGCAAAUACUCAAAUGAGAACUUUGAGGACUGAAGUGGGGAAAGGUUCCAUGUGAACAGCAGUUGGACAUGGGUUAGUCGAUCCUAAGAGAUGGGGUAAUCCUGUGUAAAGAGCGCGAUUCGCGCUGCCCAUCGAAAGGGAAAAGGGUUAAGAUUCCCUUACCUGGACAAGGCGGCUGACGGUAACGUAAGCGAGCCCCGAGACGCCGGGACUGGCCCUGGGAAGAGUUCUCUUUUCUUUUUAACUGCUCGAAGGCCCUGGAAUCGAAUCAUUCGGAGAUAGGGCUCAGUAGCAGGUAAAGCACCGCACUUCUUGCGGUGUCCGGCGCGCCAGUCACGGUCCGUGAAAAUCGGGGGGAGCGGCUACCGAUCUUGCCAGGUCGUACUCAUAACCGCAUCAGGUCUCCAAGGUGAACAGCCUCUAGUUGAUAGAACAAUGUAGAUAAGGGA